GAUAACUAUAUUUCAUAUGUGCGUACCUUGCAAGGUCCUCAUGUCUGUCAGACAGUUUUCACUUGACCUCGACCUCAUUUCAUGGAUCAGUGAACAAGGUUAAGUUUUGGUGGUCAAGUCCAUAUCUCAGAUACUAUAAGCAAUAGGGCUAGUAUAUUCGGUGUAUGGAAGGACUGUAAGGUGUACAUGUCCAACUGGCAGGUGUCAUCUGACCUUGACCUCAUUUUCAUGGUUCAGUGGUUAUAGUUAAAUUUUUGUGUUUUGGUCUGUUUUUCUCAUACUAUAUGCAGUAGGUCUUCUAUAUUUGUUGUAUGGAAUGAUUGUAAGGUGUACAUGUCUAGCGAGCAUAGUCAUGUGACCUUGACCCCAUUUUCAUGGUUCAGUGGUUAUAGUUAAAUUUUUGAGUUUUGGUCUUUUUAUCUAAUACUAUAUGCCAUAGGUCAACUAUAUUUGGUGUAUGGAAACAUUUCAUGAUCUUUAUGUCAGUGGCGCAGGUUUUAUAAGACCGUGACCUCAUUUUCACGGUUCAUUGCACAGUGUUGAGUUUUUGUGUUUUGGUCUAUUUUUCUUAAACUAUAAGUAAUGGGUCAACUAUAUAUGUUGUAUAGAAGCAUUGUUAGCUGUACAUGUCUGCCUGGCAUGGUUCAUCUGACCUUGACCUCAUUUUCAAGGUUCAUUGGUCUUUGUUUAGUUAUCUUGGUUAAUGUUAAGUUUAUGUGACAGUUGUAAUAAAGCUUAGCUGUAUACUUAGGACUAUCAACAUAAUAUCAAUAAUUAUAGUAUAGAAGGCGAGACAUUUCAGCGUGUGCACUCUUGUCUUAAAACUAUA
rnacentral:lncRNA from 1 species